UACAGAUGGGAAAGCAUGAUGACUGGCUAUAUCCCUGUGCCAAACCAUAAUGUUAUCUGUGGAGGACAAGGAAAUGGAGCUCCCUGAAGCAGACAGAGGGGCAUGAUCUGUGAACCCAGGGCUUUCCGUUGGUGAAAUCCAGCUGGAAGUCAGAAGAUCCGAGACCUUGACGAUGCAGUCCUUAUUGGUCAGCGCUCCAGAGCAGAGAAUGGGGCAAGGCUUGCAUUUGUGGGACUCAUUAACAAAGCACAGAAACAAAUAUUUUCAGAGUUGCUGGAAGGCAACAUCCAUAGGUGGUAUCAUGGACAAUAUAGCAUCAAAAGUAACGAUCUAACUGGCACUAGACAAAUGGCAUUGGGCAACAACAGAAGCAAGAAUGGCUAUAUUUUCCUCCAUAAAAAGAGGUUCUAAAGAUCC
rnacentral:lncRNA from 13 species